UCAGUAGCUAAGUGGAUAAAGCGAUGGCGUUUAAAGCAAACGACACUGGGUUCGAGUCCCAGAUUGAA
rnacentral:tRNA from 1 species